GCCCCAUAGAGCCCCAUAGAGCCCCAUAGCCGCCCAUAGAGGCCCAUAGAGCCCCAUAGCCGCCCAUAGAGCCCCAUAGAGCCCCAUAGCCGCCCCAUAGCCGCCCCAUAUCGCCCAUAGAGCCCCACAGAGCCCCACAGAGCCCCACAGAGCCCCAUAGAGCCCCAUAGCCACCCAUAGAGCCCCAUAGAGCCCCAUAGAGCCCCAUAGCCGCGCAAUAGAGCCAUAGAGCCCCAUAGAGCCCCAUAGCCGCCCCAUAGAGCCCCAUAGAGCCCCAUAGAGCCCCAAAGAACCCCAUAGCCGCCCCAUAGAGCCCAAUAGAGCCCCAUAGAGCCCCAUAGAGCCCAUAGCCGCCCCAUAGAGCCCCAUAAAGCCCCAUAGCCGCCCAUAGAGCCCCAUAGAGCCCCACAGAGCCCCAUACAGCCCCAAAGCCGCCCACAGAGCCCCAUAGAGCCCCAUAGAGCCCCAUAGAGCCCCAUAGCCGCCCCAUAGAGCCCCAUAGAAGCCCAUAGAGCCCCAUAGCCGCCCCAUAGAGCCCCAUAGAGCCCCAUAGCCGCCCAUAGAGCCCCAUAGAGCCCCAUAGAGCCCCAUAGCCGCCCAUAGACGCCAAUAGAGCCCCUAGAGCCCCAUAGCCGCCCCAUAGAGCCCCAUAGAGCCCCAUAGAGCCCCAUAGCCGCCCCAUAGAGCCCAAUAGAGCCCCAUAGCCGCCCAUAGAGCCCCAGCGAGCCCCAUAGAGCCCCACAGAGCCCCAACAGAGCCCCAUAGCCGCCCCAUAGAGCCCCAUAGAGCCCCAUAGAGCCCCAUAGCCCGCCCAUAGAGCCCCAGAGAGCCCCAUAGCCGCCCCAUAGAGCCCCAAGGCCCCAUAGAGCCCAUAGAGCCCCACAGCGCGCCCCAUAGAGCCCCAUAGAGCCGCCAUAGAGCCCCAUAGAGCCCCAUAGCCGCCCCAUAGAGCCCCAUAGAGCCCCAUAGAGCCCCAAUAGCCACCCCAUAGAGCCCCAUAGAGCCCCAUAGAGCCC
ensembl:lncRNA